rnacentral:rRNA from 1 species
AAUAGAUACCCCGGUAGUCCACGCCGUAAACGAUGAGUGCUAAGUGUUAGAGGGUUUCCGCCCUUUAGUGCUGCAGCUAACGCAUUAAGCACUCCGCCUGGGGAGUACGGUCGCAAGACUGAAACUCAAAGGAAUUGACGGGGGCCCGCACAAGCGGUGGAGCAUGUGGUUUAAUUCGAAGCAACGCGAAGAACCUUACCAGGUCUUGACAUCCUCUGACAACUCUAGAGAUAGAGCGUUCCCCUUCGGGGGACAGAGUGACAGGUGGUGCAUGGUUGUCGUCAGCUCGUGUCGUGAGAUGUUGGGUUAAGUCCCGCAACGAGCGCAACCCUUGAUCUUAGUUGCCAGCAUUUAGUUGGGCACUCUAAGGUGACUGCCGGUGACAAACCGGAGGAAGGUGGGGAUGACGUCAAAUCAUCAUGCCCCGUUAUGACCUGGGCUACACACGUGCUACAAUGGAUGGUACAAAGGGCUGCAGACCGCGAGGUCAAGCCAAUCCCAUAAACCAUUCUCAGUUCGGAUUGU